AGCCAUAAUCAACUUUGUAUCAGAUUAAAAAAUUAAAAAUUAAAAACAAAAACAACAAUUUAUGUAUCUGCAAGAUACACAUUCAACGUUACGCAUUCGUAACCAACCUCUGUCUUGAAUAUUUGUGAUUCUACUACAGGCCAUACUCCUAAGCAUCUAGCAUAGGAAAUCUUGCUCUAAGAGAAACCACCAUGACUACCCUAUCUGAGCAACACUUUUAGCAAUCCAAUUAGCAGGACUCAAACUUAGGCUUAUAUACCGCCUCCUAGGUUGUCAAUAUAU
rnacentral:misc_RNA from 1 species